rnacentral:rRNA from 1 species
UCGCUACUACCGAUUGAAUGGCUCAGUGAGGCCUUCGGACUGGCCCAGGGAGGUCGGCAACGACCACCCAGGGCCGGAAAGUUGGUCAAACUCGGUCAUUUAGAGGAAGUAAAAGUCGUAACAAGGUCUCCGUAGGUGAACCUGCGGAGGGAUCAUUA